GUGAAAUUGUUGAAAGGGAAACGCUUGAAGUCAGUCGCGUCGACCGAGACUCAGCCUUGCCUUGGCUUGGUGUACUUCUCGGCUGACGGGUCAGCAUCAAUUUUGCCCCUUGGAUAAUGAUGAGGGAAACGUGACACCUUUAUGGUGUGUUAUAGUCUCUUGUCGCAUGCAAGGGUCGGGAUUGAGGAACUCAGCACGCACCUUUGGGUGUCGGGGCUUUGCCCACGAUACGUGCUUAGGAUGUUGGCGUAAUGGCUUUAAACGACCCGUCUUGAAACACGGACCAAGGAGUCUAACAUGCCUGCGAGUGUUCGGGUGGAAAACCCGUGCGCGUAAUGAAAGUAAAAGUUGGGACCUCUGUCGUGGAGGGCACCGACGCCCGGACCAGGCCUUCUGUGACGGCUCUGCGGUAAAGCAUGUAUGUUAGGACCCGAAAGAUGGUGAACUAUGCCUGAAUAGGGUGAAGCCAGAGGAAACUCUGGUGGAGGCUCGUAGCGAUUCUGACGUGCAAAUCGAUCGUCAAAUUUGGGUAUAGGGGCGAAAGACUAAUCGAACCAUCUAGUAGCUGGUUCCUGCC
rnacentral:rRNA from 1 species